ACCGGCACUUGAACAGAGGAAGAAUUUCUCCACCCAAAAGGCUGCCUCUGGUCCCUUUGGAAAACACUGAAGUAAAGAACGGGGCGUCUUUCCAACGCAGGGAGACAAAGUGGGACGAAUCCGUUAGAGACGACACGACACACACCACGAGGCUCACGUGGCUCCGAUGCCGUGGCGGCCGUGUAAGUGAACCCCAGUGUCAGCCCGUCGGUGCCUCCUCACUUUGCUGCUGCUCUGGUCCGCGGCCCUCCUCAGCUGCUGGGGGCCUUCCUGGCUGCCUCCGUCCUCACGCCGCCCGAGUCAACCCAGUUGUGCUUCAGUAAAGUCUUAAAAUGUUUA